GACAGAGGUGCCAAGCGUUAGGCGGAAUCACUGGGCUUAAAGCGUGUGUAGGUGGAAGCGUAAGUACCUUGUGAAAUCCCACGGCUCAACCGUGGAACUGCUUGGUAUACUGCGUUUCUUGAGCCAACUAGGGGCUAUCGGAACAAGUGGUGGAGCGGUGAAGUGCGUAGAUAUCACUUGGAACGCCAAUGGUGAAAACAGAUAGCUGGGGUUGUGCUGACACUGAGACACGAAAGCCAGGGGAGCAAACGGG
rnacentral:rRNA from 1 species